GUUAAGUUAGUUUAACCUAAAACAUUAGCCUGUGGCGCUAAAAAUAAAAACAAUUUUACUUAACC
rnacentral:tRNA from 1 species